CCUACGAGGGGCUGCAGUGAGGAAUAUUGGUCAAUGGACGCGAGUCUGAACCAGCCAAGUAGCGUGAAGGAUGACUGCCCUAUGGGUUGUAAACUUCUUUUAUAUAGGAAUAAAAUGCGGCCCGUGUGCCUCUUUGCAUGUACCUUAUGAAUAAGGAUCGGCUAACUCCGUGCCAGCAGCCGCGGUAUUACGGAGGAUCCGCGCGUUAUCCGGAUGUAUUGGGUUUAAAGGGAGCGUAGGUGGGGUGUUAUGUCAGCUGUGAAAGUUUGCGGCGCAACCGUAAAAUUGCAGUUGAUAAUGGCAGUCUUGAGUACAGUUGAGGUAGGCGGAAUUCGUGGUGUAGCGGUGAAAUGCUUAGAUAUCACGAAGAACCACGAUUGCGAAGGCAGCUUGCUGGACUGUAACUGACGUUGAUGCUCGAAAGUGUGGGUAUCAAACAGGAUUAGAUACCCUAGUAGUC
rnacentral:rRNA from 1 species